rnacentral:rRNA from 1 species
CCUACGGGAGGCAGCAGUGGGGGAUAUUGCACAAUGGGGGAAACCCUGAUGCAGCGACGCCGCGUGGGCGAAGAAGUAUUUCGGUAUGUAAAGCCCUACCAGCAGGGAAGAAGAAAUGACGGUACCUGAGUAAGAAGCACCGGCUAAAUACGUGCCAGCAGCCGCGGUAAUACGUAUGGUGCAAGCGUUAUCCGGAUUUACUGGGUGGAAAGGGAGCGCAGGCGGCACGGCAAGCCUGAUGUGAAAGCCCGCGGCCCAACCGCGGGACUGCAUUGGGAACUACCGGGCUGGAGUGCCGGAGAGGUAGGCGGAAUUCCUAGUGUAGCGGUGAAAUGCGUAGAUAUUAGGAGGAACACCAGUGGCGAAGGCGGCCUACUGGACGGUGACUGACGCUGAGGCUCGAAAGCGUGGGGAGCAAACAGGAUUAGAUACCUGGGUAGUC